CCUACGGUGAGCAGCAGUGAGGAAUAUUGGUCAAUGGACGGAAGUCUGAACCAGCCAUGCCGCGUGCAGGAAGACGGCUCUAUGAGUUGUAAACUGCUUUUGUACAAGGGUAAACCUGAAUACGUGUAUUAAGCUGAAAGUACUGUACGAACAAGCAUCGGCUAACUCCGUGCCAGCAGCCGCGGUAAUACGGAGGAUGCGAGCGUUAUCCGGAUUUAUUGGGUUUAAAGGGUGCGCAGGCGGCCUGUUACGUCAGCGGUAAAAGCACGGGGCUCAACCCCGGCGAGCCUUUGAAACUGGCGGGCUGGAGUUGGAGAGAAGUACGCGGAAUGCGCGGUGUAGCGGUGAAAUGCUUAGAUAUCGCGCAGAACCCCGAUUGCGAAGGUAGCGUACCGGCUCCACACUGACGCUGAGGCACGAAAGCGUGGGUAUCGAACAGGAUUAGAUACCCUUGUAGUC
rnacentral:rRNA from 1 species